rnacentral:rRNA from 1 species
UACGAGGGGGGGCGAGCGUUUGUUCGGAAUUAUUGGGCGUAAAGGGUGCGUAGGCGGCGCACCAAGUCAGGCGUGAAAGCCCUGGGCUCAACCCGGGAAUUGCGCUUGAGACUGGUGUGCUUGAGUACGGGAGAGGAUAGUGGAAUUCCCAGUGUAGAGGUGAAAUUCGUAGAUAUUGGGAAGAACACCGGUGGCGAAGGCGGCUAUCUGGACCGUAACUGACGCUGAGGCGCGAAAGCGUGGGGAGCAAACAGG